GUGGAUUAGAUACCCUGGUAGUCCGCACUGUAAACGAUGAUUACUCGCUGCUGGGAGGUAACUUUCAGUGGCUAAGCGAAAGCGAUAAGUAAUCCACCUGGGGAGUACGCCGGCAACGGUGAAACUCAAAGGAAUUGACGGGGGCCCGCACAAGCGGAGGAGCAUGUGGUUUAAUUCGAUGAUACGCGAGGAACCUUACCAGGGCUUGAAAGUUAGUGACCGGUGGUGAAAGCCACUUUUCAGCAAUGACACGAAACUAGGUGCUGCAUGGCUGUCGUCAACU
rnacentral:rRNA from 1 species